UACGGAGGGGCUAGCGUUGUUCGGAAUUACUGGGCGUAAAGCGCGCGUAGGCGGCUUUGUAAGUUAGAGGUGAAAGCCCGGAGCCUCAACUCCGGAACUGCCUUUAAGACUGCAUCGCUAGAAUUGUGGAGAGGUAAGUGGAAUUCCGAGUGUAGAGGUGAAAUUCGUAGAUAUUCGGAAGAACACCAGUGGCGAAGGCGACUUACUGGACACAUAUUGACGCUGAGGUGGCGAAAGCGUGGGGAGCAACAGG
rnacentral:rRNA from 1 species